GGGCUCGUGGUACAGUGGUAGCACGUUCGCUUAGCAUCCCUGCUCCUGCGAAAGGUCCGGGGUUCAAUUCCCCGCGAGUCCA
rnacentral:tRNA from 2 species